rnacentral:rRNA from 1 species
GCUCAGUAGUAAACUUUAAAUUACAUUUCACUCGCCCGGGAACUACGAGCUAAGCUUAAAACCCAAAGGACUUGACGGUACCCCACAUCCACCUAGAGGAGCCUGUCCUAUAAUCGAUAACCCCCGUUUAACCUCACCAUUUUUAGCCAAUUCAGCCUGUAUACCUCCGUCGUCAGCUUACCACGUGAGCGCAAGUGAGCUCAAUAUUUUUCUAAAACACGUCAGGUCAAGGUGCAACUUAUAAAAUGGGAAGAGAUGGGCUACACUUUCUAGCAUAGAACAAACGAAAGACCCAAUGAAAAUCAGUCAGAAGGCGGAUUUAGUAGUAAAUAGAAACCAGAGAGUUCAAUUUAAUGCGGCACUGGGGUGUGUACACACCGCCCGUCACCCUCCUCUAACGCUAAAAACAGUUCUUAACCCAUUUCAGCUUAAUAGAAGAGGUAAGUCGUAACAUGGUAAGUAUACCGGAAGGUGUGCUUGGAUA